UUUUUUUGUUUAUUCUAGUUUCAGUUAGAUUUCAUAAAAAUGUUGUACAGAUCCACAGAAAUAUUUUAAUUACUAAAGCACGAACCUUGGCUUCUGGAAUAUAAGUGGGUCCAAUAGAUGAUAGAUCUUGGGCAAACAUUUAUGAAAUUACUUAUAUACUUAAAAUUCUGUCAAGCAAUGAUCAAUAGAUUGGUUAAUUUCUGAAGUCAAUAGCUUUUGUUGGAAUUUUAUAGUCAAUUCAGUUGAUAGAAAAGGAUUAUGAAAUUUAUUUUGUAUCUCUACUCCACAUUUAUUUGAGAAUUCAGAAUAAUUGGUAAUGAGGGUCAACAGAUUGUAGACUCUUACAAUGGAGGGCGUAUGAGACUACUGUUAUUACUGAUUAACAAAGAAUUAACAUUUCAUUUAUCAAAAAUUUAGACUGUUCAUGGAACAUUGACUGAAAUUAUCUAACAUGUUUGGAAAAAAACAUUACUGUUACACUAAGUAUGAUGCAAUCCAUGAAGUCCUCUAAGCCCUGAGACUUUUUUUUUUUUAGUGGAUUGUACAAGAAAGGAAACCUAAAAAUGUGGCUUUAUUGUUCAUAUUUCAUAUUCUGUUAUGGAGUUAUAUAGACUUUCAGAGAAGGUAGUUUAACACAGGGAAUUUUAUUUUCUUUAUGACUCAGACUUUAAUCUUAUAAAUGAAUCACCAUGGACAAGUAUAUGAUUAAUUAUGUGUUUUUUAAAUAGCUAAUAUAUAAAUUAAUUUACUUAAUGGGUUCUAAGUAAAGUUUUCUUACAGUAAGUAAAGAGGCCUUGUGUAUGUCUUCAUGCACUGUAUCAUUUAAAGUAUAUCUCUUUAUACUAGGAUUUACCAAAUAAUGGGAAAAUGUUUGGGAUCACCUGGAAGUUUGGGCAGGUCGGUCCCAUGACAUGCAAUGAAUGUGAACCUUUCUGAAAAGUCUACAUGAGUGUAUUAUAGAAGUGUAGAGCAUGAUUUAUUAAAAAAAAAAACCCUCCUUUAUUUGGUAAAAAAUUAUCAGAUGUCUUAACUAUCAGUUGAAUUCAUUUUCUCAGCUAUGUCUUUUGUUUUUUUUCUGGGAGUGGGAGGCAAGUGUGUGUCAUCUAGGAUGGUUCAGCCACGUUGCUAUAGGUCCCCUAUGUCACCUAUCUGUGGGCAUCAGCCUUUCAUCAUGUUCUCUUAUCCUCCAGGAGGGUAGAGGUUAAGAUAUACUGAUAAAAGGACUCUCAGCAGAAAAAGAAAUGUGACGUUUUAAAAACUUCUUCUUGUGCUAUGCUUAAAGUUCAUUGCUUAAAAGUAUUCACAGGUCUAAGUUCAAGAGAACAUUUUGGUUCACUGUAUAAAAUUAUUCACAUGAGAUUUAUAAACAAGUAUUACUUGUACCACAUGGGAUUUUGUGAUAAAUAUAUUCCUCAAAUAUAUGUAUCCACAUUUAGUAUGUAAAUAGUUUGAGUUAUAACUACUUGUUAGGUUGAAUUAUAUUGUACAUUAUUUUAUAAUAUUUAAUAUGUAGUUGUUCCAUGAUUAAAUUUUAUUAUAAAAAUAUUAGCUAACUAGUUAUGCUUGUGAAUCCCUUUAUAUAUAAUAUACCUUUCUUAGCUCUGAAUGUUUGUUGUCCAAAAAUUAUAUGUUCAAAUUGAGUUAUCUUCC
rnacentral:lncRNA from 1 species